rnacentral:rRNA from 1 species
GUGGGGAAUAUUGCACAAUGGGCGCAAGCCUGAUGCAGCAACGCCGCGUGAGUGAUGAAGGCCUUCGGGUUGUAAAACUCUGUCCUAUGGGAAGAAACAAAUGACGGUACCAUGGGAGGAAGCCCCGGCUAACUACGUGCCAGCAGCCGCGGUAAUACGUAGGGGGCAAGCGUUAUCCGGAAUCACUGGGCGUAAAGGGUGCGUAGGUGGCUUAUCAAGCCAGAGGUGAAAGGCAGUGGCUCAACCAUUGUAAGCCUUUGGAACUGAUUAGCUUGAGUGCAGGAGAGGUAAGUGGAAUUCCUAGUGUAGAGGUGAAAUUCGUAGAUAUUAGGAGGAACACCAGUGGCGAAGGCGACUUACUGGACUGUAACUGACACUGAGGCACGAAAGCGUGGGUAGCGAACAGGAUUAGAAACCCUUGUAGUCC